GCAAAUCAAUGUGGAAAUGACAAAGAGAGCCAUGGAGGGAAACCCCCUAGAAAGACUGAACUGGACCCUAAAGGAUCAGAGAGAGGAAGAAGCUGGAAGUAAUGCAAAGAGUCCCAAAGUGAGAAGAUUCCAGUUUUAAGUCCUGGUUCUGAUCCACAUCUGCCUUAGGCCUUGGAUAAUCCCUUAAGUGCUAAAGCAGGAAGAAGUUAACCAAAGAAAAGUGGAACCAAGAACGUGGGCAGAGGCCAACUAAUGCCCUUUUGAAUGCCUCUACAGCCAAAGAGCCUCCUAGUGAUUAUAUGAUUAUUCAACAUGAACCAGUUAAAGAAUGUCUACACAUGUUCCAAAGCCUUUCCAACAUACUUCCACUAUGUGUCUUUCAGAAGUUGGCUUCCCAAACAAACCCUUCUCUGUGGGUAAUCAGAUGCAGUCUGAGCAGCCUCUUUGGACCUCCAUUUCCUCAUCUAUAAAGAGAGAAGAUUGGGCCAGAUGAUAUCUAAUGACCCUUCCAGCUCUAAAUCCUUGAUCUUGAUGAAGUGGGAAGAGCAUCAGCCUCUGGAAUCAGACUAUCUGAGUUCAUACCCCACUUCUGACACUACCUGUGCGACUUCGUGUGACCUUCCUCUGUCCCAGUUUACAUAUGCAUAAAAUAAGGGAUUAAAAUUCAUGGCCUUCUAAGACCCUUUGAAUGCCACCUUUGUUGUUAUGUCAUCCUUUAGUUGUUCAAUUGUAUCCAAUUCCUCAUGACCCCAUUUGGAGUUUUCUAGACAAAAACAUUAGAGUGGCUUCUCCUAUGGAUUAGACAAAUAGGUUUAAAAUGCUCAGAAUCACACAGCUAGUAAAUGGCUGAGGCUGGAUUUGAAUUCAGUUCUUUCUGA